UCGUGGAGCUCCGGCUCCUUCGAGAGAUCACCCUUGCCUUUUCGAGCACCUGUUUGUUGCCUCGGCAGGUACGCCUGCCGAUGGAUACGCCCUAAACUCUUGCAAUAACCUGUACGAAAAUCGUCUGAAACAAAAAAAAUACUAAAUCA
rnacentral:misc_RNA from 1 species